rnacentral:rRNA from 1 species
UACGUAGGGGGCAAGCGUUGUCCGGAAUCAUUGGGCGUAAAGCGUGUGUAGGCGGGUCGUUAAGUGCCUUGUGAAAUCCCAUGGCUCAACCAUGGAACUGCUGGGCAUACUGGCGAUCUUGUGCCACCUAGGGGCGAGCGGAACAGAUGGUGGAGCGGUGAAAUGCGUAGAUAUCAUCUGGAACGCCAAUGGUGAAAACAGCUCGCUGGGGGUGUGCAGACGCUGAGACACGAAAGCCAGGGGAGCGAACGGG